rnacentral:rRNA from 1 species
UGAAGGCCUACGGGUUGUAAACCUCUUUUCUCAAGGAGGAAGAUCUGACGUUACUUGAGGAAUAAGCAUCGGCUAACCCUGUGCCAGCAGCCGCGGUAAUACAGGGGAUGCAAGUGUUAUCCGGAAUUAUUGGGCGUAAAGCGUCUGCAGGUUGAUAUUUAAGUCUUUUGUUAAACCUUCGGGCUCAACCCGGAAUCUGCAAAGGAAACUAUAUAUCUUGAGUAUGGUAGGGGUAAAGGGAAUUUCCAGUGGAGCGGUGAAAUGCGUAGAUAUUGGAAAGAACACCAACAGCGAAGGCACUUUACUGGGCCAGUACUGACACUCAGAGACGAAAGCUAGGGGAGCAAACAGGAUUAGAUACCCUGGUAGUCCUAGCUGUAA